UACGUAGGGUGCAAGCGUUGUCCGGAAUUAUUGGGCGUAAAGAGCUCGUAGGCGGUCUGUCGCGUCUGCUGUGAAAACUCGGGGCUUAACCCCGGGCCUGCAGUGGGUACGGGCAGACUAGAGUGCGGUAGGGGAGACUGGAAUUCCUGGUGUAGCGGUGAAAUGCGCAGAUAUCAGGAAGAACACCCGUGGCGAAGGCGGCUCUCUGGUACGUGACUGACGCUGAGACGCGAAAGCGUGGGGAGCAAACAGG
rnacentral:rRNA from 1 species